GGAAAUGGAUUGCCCUGGGAUGUGAGAGUCAAUAACAAGUGUGGUUUGGAGACCAUUGUAGGAGUCCAGCCCAAUAUGGGAUCAUGCUAUACGUACAGCUUUGCAACUUAUUCCGCUCAACUUACACUGCAAGUAUCUUUCCAUGGCAAUAAAUCAACAUUUCAACAACUUGAGUUGUAGAACUCAUGACGCUUUUGGAAGUGGGCAAAACAUGAAAGUUAUGAAAGCCAGAGACGUGAUUAAUAUCUCAUGAAUCAGCUAACGGCCAAGUCAGUGAGAGAGAAACCCAUGGGAGGCAAAUUAGCUCAUGCAGCUCAGAUGUUCUUGGAUCUUUUCCUCAGUACCACUUGACC